AUACGUAGGGGGCGAGCGUUGUCCGGAAUGAUUGGGCGUAAAGGGCGCGUAGGCGGCGCGGUAAGUCUGGAGUGAAAGUCCUGCUUUCAAGGUGGGAAUUGCUUUGGAUACUGCCGCGCUUGAGUGCAGGAGAGGUUAUCGGAAUUCCCGGUGUAGCGGUGAAAUGCGUAGAGAUCGGGAGGAACACCAGUGGCGAAGGCGGGUAACUGGACUGCAACUGACGCUGAGGCGCGAAAGCGUGGGGAGCAAACAGGAUUAGAUACCCUGGUAGUCCACGCCGUAAACGAUGAUUACUAGGUGUUGGUUGUCAUAGACAAUCGGUGCCGCAGCAAACGCAAUAAGUAAUCCACCUGGGGAGUACGUUCGCAAGAAUGAAACUCAAAGGAAUUGACGGGG
rnacentral:rRNA from 1 species